rnacentral:tRNA from 1 species
GGCCUGUGGCCUAAUGCGUAAGGCGCAUGACUUCUAAUCAGAAGAUUGCAGGUUCGACCCUGCAUCGGUCA